rnacentral:lncRNA from 1 species
CAUGGUUUGUGUACUUCUAUUUUGGCUUGAAAGUUUCUUCAUUCAGAGCUCACAAUUGUAGCGUCCUAAUUUUAAUUUAUUUUUAGGAUUUCAAAGUUUUAGGAAGUGUGUGGAAUUAUUUGUAAAUAAUAUUACUUUCUGAACACAAAUGAGAUAAUCACAGAUCAAUGUUGUAAUUUUUUUCUGUUGGAAAGAUGCUGAAUUGCAUUGUGUAUUGGUUGAAAAGUAAGUUAGAAAUGUUUCCAAGUUCAAAUAGGAUUUGAAUAGAUCAAAAGUCCAAAUCUUAAAAUUCUAAAAUACCAGAAAUCUUGUUGCACUCAAUCUAUUCUUUCUCAUGGUCCAGCCCAUUUCUCUCCCAACAUUCUCUCUCCCUUUUCUUUUCAGCCCGACACCCAACUCAGUUUGGGCCCGGCGCAGCCCGGCCAUUCCUUCCC